rnacentral:rRNA from 1 species
CCUACGGGUGACAGCAGUGGGGAAUAUUGGACAAUGGGGGAAACCCUGAUCCAGCGACGCCGCGUGAGUGAAGAAGUAUUUCGGUACGUAAAGCUCUAUCAGCAGGAAAGAAAAUGACGGUACCUGACUAAGAAGCCCCGGCUACCUAAGUGCCAGCAGCCGCGGUCAUACGUAGGGGGCAAGCGUUAGCCGGAUUUACUGGGUGGAAAGGGAGCGUAGACGGCAGCGCAAGUCUUGAGUGAAAUGCCGGGGCCCAACCCCGGAACUGCUCUGGAAACUGUGAAGCUGGAGUGCAGGAGAGGUAAGCGGAAUUCCUGGUGUAGCGGUGAAAUUCGUAGAUAUCAGGAGGAACACCGGCGGCGAAGGCGGCUUACUGGACUGUAACUGACGUUGAGGCUCGAAGGCGUGGGGAGCAAACAGGAUUAGAUACCCCUGUAGUC